UGGAGAAAAUUCUGGAGAUGUCCUACAGCAAGUAUAAAUAGAGGUGCUGAUUGUACAAAAAAAGUACACACACACGAAAUCAUUCCAAAAGAUCCCAAAAAUCAGUUUGUAUGUGCAGGAGCAGCAGCACUGCAAGUUCAAAAAAAAUCAUUGUAAUCCCAAAGCUUGAUAUUGAAUAAAAUCCUUGCAAUUCCAAAUUUUCUACUUAGCAUCAAAGUCUAUUCUCAUCUUUUUAUUUUUCCGUCACAUCUUUUGCUCACUCUCAUCCACUCACACUUCCGCUGUCCCCAACAAAUUUGGUAUCAGAGCUUGUUUAGUAUCCGCUUCAUUCCUUAUUUUCCUUCCUAGUGCUACUGAUGGCAUCAAUUCCAGCCCCUACCAUGUUUAGAUAUUCUCCAAGUCAAGUCCCUAUCUUUGAAGGGGAAAACUAUGACUACUGGAGUAGCGAAAUGGAGAAUUUUUUCGUAUCUGAAGACGUGUGGGAAGUUAUUGAGAAAGGCAUGCCAGAUCAACCAGAAGUUGCGACACAAGCAGCACAAAAGCAGCAUAAGGAGAACAAGAAAAAAGACGCAACGGCACUCCGCUACAUCAAACAAGGGGUAAGCAAAUCAAUCUAUCCUAGAAUUUUUAAUGCAAAGAGUGCAAAAGAAGCAUGGGAUGUGUUGAAAGAUGAGUUUCAAGGAAAUGAAAAAAUUGUUUCCAUAAAGCUGCAAUCUUUGUGGAGAGAUUUUGAUAACUUAUUGAUGAAAGAAAGUGAAUGCAUUAGAGAUUUUCUCUCUAGAGUUGCUGAGAUUGUCAAUCAAAUUAAAAGCCAUGGUGAAGCCAUUCAAGAUAAAAAGGUGAUUGAGAAAAUACUCAGGAGUUUACCUCCAAAAUUUGAUCAUUGUGUUGCUACCAUAGAAGAAGCUAAAGACUUGUCAAAAAUUACUAUGUUUGAACUAAUGGGUUCACUCCAAGCACAUGAGCAGAGAAUUAACAGGUCGUCGAGCCAACCCAUCGACCAAGCUUUUCAAUCCAAACUCCAUUUCAACACCAACAAGGCAAACAAGCAGGAGCAAGCGAAAAAAGGAGGGUCAUUCCAAAAGAAGAUGUACGGCCAGCCAAACCAAAAUGAAGGUGAGGGCAAAGCAAAUCAAAGAGGAGAAAAUCAGCAACAAAGAUCUGGUAAUCCGCAACAAAGAGCUGGUAAUUACAACUCUAGUUGCCGCACUGCAAAAGGUCUAAUCACCAAACAAAAGAUUGUCGAUUCAAAUGCAAGAAAUGCAGAAAUCCUAAUCACUCUCAAAGGGAUUGCUGGUUUCAACAGAAAAAGGAAAGUGCUGAAGCAAAUUUCAUGACAAAUGAGCCCGAACAACUUUUUUCUUGCAUGAAUGUCCAGGAAGAAUCUCAGGAUGUUUGGUACUUGGACAGUGGGUGCAGCAACCACAUGACAGGGAAUCGUGAUAUCUUUGUGGAGCUUGAUCAGAACUUUGCUUCGCAGGUGAAACUUGGAGAUGGAAAGCUGCAAAGUGCUGAAGGCAAAGGAGUAAUUUCUGUCCGCACAAAGGGAGCUCUUGCAGAAAAACAGAGUGGGCAUGAAAUUAAGACUCUUCGGACUGACCGAGGAGGAGAAUUUAUCUAUACUCCAUUCAUGGACUAUUGCAAAGAAAAUGGAAUUCAGAGGCAGCUCACUAUUAGAAGAAGUCCGCAGCAAAUGGUGUUGCAGAGAGGAAAAAUCGGACCAUUGCGAAGAUGGCUCGGAGUAUGUUAAAGGGCAAAGGACUACCCAACAAGUUUUGGGCCGAGGCUGUUAAUUCAGCAAUUUAUAUCCUCAAUCGAUCUCCCACAAAAGCUGUUCGCAACAAGACUCCAUUUGAAGCCUGGAAUAAAAGGAAGCCGGUGAUUGAUCACUUAAGAGUUUUCGGCUGCAUCGCAUAUUCUUUAAUUCCAUCCAAAGACAGAGAAAAGUUUGAUGAGAAAGGAGAAAAGCUCAUCUUCAUUGGCUAUAGUGAUGAGUCGAAAGGAUAUCGGUUGUUCAAUCCAAAUACAAACAAGCUGAUUGUUUCUAGAGAUGUGGUGUUUGAUGAAAUGGCAGCUUGGAGCUGGGAUGGAAACACUUC